UAACAUCCGAUUAAUAACAUCACUAUUCUAAAAAAUCAAACAAUCCACAAUACUAAAAUUCAAUCCAAAAUUCUAAUAACAAAAUUAAGGCUCUAAUAACAAAAUUCAAAUCAGAUUAACAAAUUAGCAGAAUUAAUGUUUAUUAGCAAGAUCAACAUGGGCCUAAACCACCCCAAGCCCAAGCAGGAGGGGGUGCAUUGGUCGAAAUGAGGGUGAUAAUAGUCACUGCAGGAACGGGCUUAGGGCCCAAUCGAUCCACAACUCCAACACCGGGAUAUACUUCCCCCGAAUUCAUCUCCCUAUGAACUCCAAAUGGCCUUAUGCAAGUAGAUCUAGUUGCGCCGGUUCGUCACCGGCGGCGGCGUUUUGAAACGUCGACAUACUCACGUCGUCCUCCGCCUCAGUCUCCCCUCAACAUGAACCUAUCCUCCACUCUCUACAUUCCUUCUCCUCUCGACCUAACCUAAACGAUAACGCACAAACCAAUACAACGGAAUAACCGACGCUAGCAACGGAGCAAGAAUUUAGUUAAGGACUACAAGAUUACGGUUCCGUAUUGCAAAAUUCAGAUCGCGUUAGAGAAAACAUUGAAUCACGGAGGGAUGAGAACACCUAUCAGCGACAGCGGAAAUGGCUUUGUCGGCGAUGUCAACUCAAAAUUCCGGUAAUUGCUUUUCGCAGAUUCAAUCUCUUCGCUUCCUCUAUUCCGUUAUGGACUUUGGUUACACGAAGCUUCGUAGCCUAUUAUGGUGUUCUCCGAUGUCGUUCGAUGGCGGAAUUACUGUGGUUGAGUCCGAAGGUUGUGGAAGAAUACGGUGGAUCCUCUGUAGCAGCUACGUUUGGUUAUACAGGUUGGGGAAGAUUGCGGUGGUUCGAUGAGGAAACGGAAGAACUGCUAUGAAGUUUGUUGAGUUUGUUACGGUUCGGAAGAACGCGACAGAAGAUGCGGUUAGAGAUUGGCUAUCUGUGAAAAGAGAAAAUGGAAGAGAGAGGGAGGAAGGAAAAUGCCAAGAAAAGAUCCCCGCAUUCCACUGUGUGAUUUUGAAUUUAUAGAACUCUCAACUUCGCUUGCGUUUCCUGACUUGCGCGUCCUGUUAUAGCAGUUGCUUUCACUUUUGGCUUCGUCUGUAGCUGGGUUGUCGCAGCUUAUGAAGCGUGCGUUUGGUUGGUUGGCGCUACGGACCCGCGUUCUACUGCAUUUUGAAUUAUUUUGGUUAUUUUGCAUUUUUGAUGCAGCUGGUGUGGUGUAAUAUGGCUUGCAAGAUGAAGUCGGUUGUUGCGUUCUACUUAUGCAGCUUACAUUUACGGCUUGUACUGCUGCAGCUUUUUGAAUGCUUUCCACUUUAUUAUGCAGGUUUCCACUUGGCUGAACUUGUUUUCGACGCCGGCGUGAGCAUUUGGAGCGUUUGGUUUGUCGACUUGGAAGCGCUAGCUUUGCGUAGCAGCAACUUUUGGUUUUGUUUUCGGAUGUGUUUUGCAGUGCUUGCUGCAACUGGUUUCGGUGUUAUGCUCAGCCGGCGUGUGCGUUUCUGUUGGCUGCUGAUGUUGUUAGCAACUUUUUGGAAGUUGAGUUUGGGUAGCGGUUUCCUUGGCAACUAGGCUUGGUGUAGCCUUUGGUUUGUGAGGCUGUUGGCAGGAAGCUGCGUUUGCAGCUUGAGUUUGUAUGAUUGUUACCGCCUGGUGUAGAUUCAUGUUAUGCUACUCAUCAAUUCCGAUUGUUUCUUCUUUUUCUUCA